rnacentral:rRNA from 1 species
GACGAACGCUGGCGGCGUGCUUAACACAUGCAAGUCGAACGGAAAGGCCUGCUUUCCCUUGUGGAUUGCGGGUACUCGAGUGGCGAACGGGUGGGUAACACGUGAGUGAUCUGCCCCCAACUUGGGUAUAAGCCUGGGAAACUGGGUCUAAUUCCCGAUAGGACUGCAGGGUGGUGCCUGUGGUGGAAAACGAUUUUCUAGUGGUUGGGGAUGAGCUCGCGGCCUAUCAGCUUGUUGGUGGGGUAAUGGCCUACCAAGGCGGCGACGGGUAGCCGGCCUGAGAGGGUGGACGGCCACAUUGGGACUGAGAUACGGCCCAGACUCCUACGGGAGGCAGCAGUGGGGAAUAUUGCACAAUGGGCGGAAGCCUGAGGCAGCGACGCCGCGUGGGGGAUGACGGCCUUCGGGUUGUAAACUCCUUUCGACCGCGAGGAAGCCACCUGGUUGGAAGGGUGGUGACGGUAGUGGUAGAAGAAGCACCGGCUAACUACGUG